GAAGAAGCGAAACUAAUUUUGACAUAGUCAACUAUUCUACCUUAGUUUCCUAUUCGAAGUUCAGUUAUAAUUUAACAUGAUACAAAGUGCUAAGAGGAUAGAUAAAGUCGAUGAAAGUGCGAAUCGGAGAGCAGUAUUUUAAACUGACCUGGAUUUUCUGUUUCUCCCGAUAGAAGGAACAUCUCGUGUGAUGUUACUAACCUUUUCUCGACCAGUGAUCGAUAUUCAAAUGAAAUUCCACAAGUAGAUCGAAAAGAGGAGCAAUAUACAGUUUACGAAUAAAGACGACAUAACCUAAAUCAGUCAGUACUGCAAUUGCGACAAUGCCGAUGGCUGUGAAUCGCGGAAGGAGGACGACAGACGACCAUGCCUGACGACAGGAAUAUAGAAGAAAAGAACGAAAAGGAAAGGAAACGUGAAAAGCUAUUACAUUAAGGUGAUUGCAUUUACCUAGAAUGCAUACCUCUUACCUCACUGCACAGCACUCUGGUAUACUGGAUAUUAAACUUAAUUUAUUUUGCCAAUGUUUAGUAUCAAGGAGGAUCGUACAAUUCAUACAAUUCGAUUUAUCUUCAUUUACUCGAAGCACUCCAUUUGUUAAAUCGAACAGAAAUAUUAUUCUCAACUAUAAUUAAUUAAAAAGUUCAAGCCGAUGUUCAAAUUUUAAGAUAUUUAAAUU